rnacentral:rRNA from 1 species
UACAGAGGUCUCAAGCGUUGUUCGGAUUCAUUGGGCGUAAAGGGCGCGUAGGCGGCCUUCUAAGUCGAACGUGAAAUCCCCGGGCUCAACCCGGGAACUGCGUCCGAUACUGGGAGGCUUGAAUCCGGGAGAGGGAUGUGGAAUUCCAGGUGUAGCGGUGAAAUGCGUAGAUAUCUGGAGGAACACCGGUGGCGAAGGCGGCAUCCUGGACCAACACUGACACUGAGGAGCGAAAGCCAGGGGAGCAAACGGG